rfam:Triticum aestivum genome assembly, contig: Triticum_aestivum_CS42_TGACv1_scaffold_404202_5BL
UAAAUACUCCCUCGUCCGAAAAAGUUUGUCUCUCAAAUGGGUGUAUCUAGCAUCAAGUUAGUGCUAGAUAUAUCCAUUUGAGGAAUAAUCUUGGGACAAACUUUUUCGGACGGAGGAAGUAGUAA